rnacentral:rRNA from 1 species
UAUGUGAUCGUCUCUCGCAUAUCAAUAAGCGGAGGAAAAGAAACUGAACAAGGAUUCCCCUAGUAACGGCGAGUGAAGCGGGAAGAGCUCAAAUUUGAAAUCUUAAAGGGUUUCCCUUUACGAAUUGUAGUUUAAAGAAGUGUUUUCUGUUGAGGUUUUGGUAAAAAGUUCUUUGGAAUAGGACAUCAUAGAGGGGUGAGAAUCCCGUAUUUGACCUUUACUUUCAACUUUGUGAUACACUUUCAAAGAGUCGGAUUGUUUGGGAAUGCAGUCCAAAAUGGGUGGUAAAUUUCAUCUAAAGCUAAAUAUUGGCGAGAGACCGAUAGCGAACAAGUAGCCGUGAGGGAAAGAUGAAAAGAACUUUGAAAAGAGAGUUAAACAGUACGUGAAAUUGUCAAAAGGGAAGCGUUUGACACCAGUGUUGUUUUUUCUGAAAAUCAAUUAAAGAACUGUUUAUGCUAAGUUGUUUAGACUUUAUCAGCUAACUGUUUAGUUUUGAGCUUUUCUUUAAUGCACUUUUCAGUUAACAAGUCAACAUCAAUUUCUUUUGCUGUAAAAAAAGCUUGAGGAAGGUGGCUUGAGAUUCGUCUUAAGUGUUUAUAGCCUCUUGCCUAUGCAGUCGGAGAGAUUGAGGUCUGCAGCGUAGAUCCUUCGGGGCUAAAUGCAUUUGUGCUAAGUUAUAGCAUUUUAUAGACAACUUGUUGACUAUGAUUUGUCUUUGUAGCUUACUCGCUUAUGUUAUUUUACCUACGCUUAGGAUGUUGAUCUGUAGUGCGUGCGC